rnacentral:sRNA from 1 species
GAAGUUUAAGGUUGGCACCUCCAGGUUGCCACGGCACACGAAACAGCGUUGGUCCCCAUAUACCGGUAAACUGAAACUGCAGUGAAGCAGUUAGCCGAGCCAUGUAUAUCAGGUCUGUUUCGUGUGCUGAAUUGUUGACGCAUUUAUUUAUUGGUAUCGC